rnacentral:rRNA from 2 species
UGGGGAAUAUUGGGCAAUGGAGGCAACUCUGACCCAGCAAUGCCGCGUGAGUGAAGAAGGUUUUCGGAUUGUAAAGCUCUUUAAGUGGGGACGAAGAAAGUGACUGUACCCACAGAAUAAGCAUCGGCUAACUACGUGCCAGCAGCCGCGGUAAUACGUAGGAUGCAAGCGUUAUCCGGAAUGACUGGGCGUAAAGGGUGCGUAGGCGGUUUGGCAAGUUGGUAGCGUAAUUCCGGGGCUCAACUUCGGAACUACUACCAAAACUGCCAGGCUUGAGUGCGGCAGGGGUAUGUGGAAUUCCUAGUGUAGCGGUGGAAUGCGUAGAUAUUAGGAGGAACACCAGAGGCGAAAGCGACAUACUGGGCCGUAACUGACGCUGAGGCACGAAAGCGUGGGGAGCAAACAGG